rnacentral:rRNA from 1 species
UGGGGAAUUUUUCCGCAAUGGGCGAAAGCCUGACGGAGCAAUGCCGCGUGGAGGUGGAAGGCCUACGGGUCGUCAACUUCUUUUCUCGGAGAAGAAACAAUGACGGUAUCUGAGGAAUAAGCAUCGGCUAACUCUGUGCCAG